rnacentral:rRNA from 1 species
CCUACGGGAGGCAGCAGUGAGGAAUAUUGGUCAAUGGACGAGAGUCUGAACCAGCCAAGUAGCGUGAAGGAUGACUGACCUAUGGGUUGUAAACUUCUUUUAUAUGGGAAUAAAAUGUUCCACGUGUGGGAUUUUGUAUGUACCAUAUGAAUAAGGAUCGGCUAACUCCGUGCCAGCAGCCGCGGUAAUACGGAGGAUCCGAGCGUUAUCCGGAUUUAUUGGGUUUAAAGGGAGCGUAGGUGGUUUGUUAAGUCAGUUGUGAAAGUUUGCGGCUCAACCGUAAAAUUGCAGUUGAAACUGGCAGUCUUGAGUACAGUAGAGGUGGGCGGAAUUCGUGGUGUAGCGGUGAAAUGCUUAGAUAUCACGAAGAACUCCGAUUGCGAAGGCAGUUCACUGGACUGCAACUGACACUGAGGCUCGAAAGUGUGGGUAUCAAACAGGAUUAGAUACCCCAGUAGUC